GAGGGUGUAGCUCAAUGGUAGAGUGCAUACCUGGCAUGCACAAGGUCCUGGGUUCAAUCUCCAGCACCACUA
rnacentral:tRNA from 1 species